rnacentral:rRNA from 1 species
GUGAACGCUGGCGGUAGGCCUAACCCGUGCCAGUCGCACGGCAGCACAGUAAGAGCUUGCUCUUACGGGUGGCGAGUGGCGGACGGGUGAGGAAUACAUCGGAAUCUACUUUUUCGUGGGGGAUAACGUAGGGAAACUUACGCUAAUACCGCAUACGACCUACGGGUGAAAGCAGGGGAUCUUCGGACCUUGCGCGAUUGAAUGAGCCGAUGUCGGAUUAGCUAGUUGGCGGGGUAAAGGCCCACCAAGGCGACGAUCCGUAGCUGGUCUGAGAGGAUGAUCAGCCACACUGGAACUGAGACACGGUCCAGACUCCUACGGGAGGCAGCAGUGGGGAAUAUUGGACAAUGGGCGCAAGCCUGAUCCAGCCAUACCGCGUGGGUGAAGUAGGCCUUCGGGUUGUAAAGCCCUUUUGUUGGGAAAGAAAAGCAGCAGGUUAAUACCCCGCUGUUCUGACGGUACCCAAAGAAUAAGCACCGGCUAACUUCGUG